UACGUAGGGGGCGAGCGUUGUCCGGAUUCAUUGGGCGUAAAGAGCUCGUAGGCGGUUUGGUAAGUCGGGUGUGAAAACCCCAGGCUCAACCUGGGGACGCCACCUGAUACUGCCAUGACUUGAGUCUGGUAGGGGAUCACGGAAUUCCUGGUGUAGCGGUGAAAUGCGCAGAUAUCAGGAGGAACACCGGUGGCGAAGGCGGUGAUCUGGGCCAGUACUGACGCUGAGGAGCGAAAGCGUGGGUAGCGAACAGG
rnacentral:rRNA from 1 species